AUGAACGCUGGCGGCGUGCCUAAUACAUGCCAGUCGAGCGAACAGACGAGGAGCUUGCCCCUCUGACGUUAGCGGCGGACGGGUGAGUAACACGUGGAUAACCUACCUAUAAGACUGGGAUAACUUCGGGAAACCGGAGCUAAUACCGGAUAAUAUAUUGAACCGCAUGGUUCAAUAGUGAAAGACGGUUUUGCUGUCACUUAUAGAUGGAUCCGCGCCGCAUUAGCUAGUUGGUAAGGUAACGGCUUACCAAGGCAACGAUGCGUAGCCGACCUGAGAGGGUGAUCGGCCACACUGGAACUGAGACACGGUCCAGACUCCUACGGGAGGCAGCAGUAGGGAAUCUUCCGCAAAGGGCGAAAGCCUGACGGAGCAACGCCGCGUGAGUGAUGAAGGUCUUCGGAUCGUAAAACUCUGUUAUUAGGGAAGAACAAAUGUGUAAGUAACUAUGCACGUCUUGACGGUACCUAAUCAGAAAGCCACGGCUAACUACGUG
rnacentral:rRNA from 1 species